ACUUGACCAAUUGCGUACAAUAUGGCUGAGUAGUGAUGAUCGUUUUCGCGCCUUUUUGCGACCAAGAGGCUCUAUGAAUGUCAAACGAUCUACCUUUUUGUAUAUAUUUACAUACAAAUUUUUUAAGAAUAUCGCUGAUUGAUUAAUAUGCAAUAUCUGUACAAGAUAGCAGCAUGUCUUAUAAUGAUUCAAUAGAACAGCGGAGAAAACGGUCCAAAUUAACGAAGGAAAUGGCUAUUGCAGAUAUUGCGUCUUCUAUUGAUUACAUAGCCAAAUCUGUUGAAUCUAUGAGUGCGAGUUACAGCGAGAUGUUAAGGAUUAACAAGAACGUUGUCACAUAUCUGCAAAAGGUUGAAAAACAUGAGAAAGGAAUGAACCAGAUUGUAGCGGAUAUAGAACAUACAUCCACUAAAGAAAAAUAAUAACUGGUAUAACGGUUGUAUUUAUCUCAUAUUGUUUGCAUUUGAUACACUCUCUCACUGCAGUUUAUGGUAUGUCAUCACUCUGAAAACCUAAAUCUACAGUUAACAAGAAGAGUACAUAUAUAGUUUUUGCUUUGACAUAAUUCAAAACAGCAGUGAGAAGCCUUAAACUAAAAAUUUCAUGUUAUAAUGACUUAGAUAUAAGUAUUUAUUAACAAAUAUAUAUGUAAGCGAAAGUCUUGUGUGAUAUCAUAAAUUUAUUGUCAUGUGUAUAUCAUGUGCAAUAAGUAGAGUAAAUAAUAGUUAUUUCUUACUUUGUCAUUAUAACAAUAAAUACAAAAACAAUAAUUUUAUGAUAUAAAUAAUAUUGAAGAUUAUAUUUUUAUGAAUAAUUCUUUUCUUAUUAUAUCACAAUGUUCCUUGAUCUUUAUCCAACAGUAAAUACAUAAUAGCUUAAUACCUUGGAACUAGGAAAGCCUGUGUCACUCUACCAUAGUUUGGAAAUAUAAUCACAAAAUGUAAUAUUUCUUAUACUAUUAGAUCGCAGACCUGGCAAUAUCUAUUAUCAUACUAUUUUAUGCAUUGCGAACGCACCAAUACUGAAUGUUUAUAGAUUCUGCAAUAUACUUUUUAUUGUGAUGAAACUGCGACAAUCUAAUGAAUGGACGAAUAAAAUAAUCUAUUCUUUCAGUUCCGAGGCAUUGUAUUAAUGACAAGUCUUGUAUGUGUAACAAAGAGACUAACAAAGUGACUGUGGAUACGUCUUA